CCUACGGGUGGCAGCAGUGGGGGAUAUUGCACAAUGGGGGGAACCCUGAUGCAGCAAUGCCGCGUGGGUGAAGAAGCACUCCGGUGCGUAAAGCCCUGUCAGCAGGGAAGAAAAUGACAGUACCUGGACAAGAAGCCCCGGCUAACUACGUGCCAGCAGCCGCGGGAAUACGUAGGGGGCCAGCGUUAUCCGGAUUUAUUUGGUGUAAAGGGAGCGCAGGCGGGGUGGCAAGUCAGAUGUGAAAACCCGGGGCCCAACCCCGGGAGUGCAUUUGAAACUGCCAUGCUGGAGUGCCGGAGAGGUAAGCGGAAUGCCUGGUGUAGCGGUGAAAUGCGUAGAUAUUAGGAGGAACACCAGUGGCGAAGGCAGCUUACUGGACGGUAACUGACGCUGAGGCUCGAAAGCGUGGGAAGCAAACAGGAUUAGAUACCCGGGUAGUC
rnacentral:rRNA from 1 species